GACGGCCCCGUAAAACGGGCCGCCCCCGCCAGAGGACCCUUAACUCUGUUUCUUUUAGUGUAUCUUCUGAGUAAAACAAGCAAAUAAAUUAAAACUUUCAACAACGGAUCUCUUGGCUCUGGCAUCGAUGAAGAACGCAGCGAAAUGCGAUAAGUAAUGUGAAUUGCAGAAUUCAGUGAAUCAUCGAAUCUUUGAACGCACAUUGCGCCCGCCAGUAUUCUGGCGGGCAUGCCUGUUCGAGCGUCAUUACAACCCUCAGGCCCCCGGGCCUGGCGUUGGGGAUCGGCGGAGCCCCCCGUGGGCACACGCCGUCCCCCAAAUACAGUGGCGGUCCCGCCGCAGCUUCCAUCGCGUAGUAGCUAACACCUCGCGACUGGAGAGCGGCGCGGCCACGCCGUAAAACACCCAACUCUUCUGAAGUUGACCUCGAAUCAGGUAGGAAUACCCGCUGAA
rnacentral:rRNA from 1 species